GUCACAUGACAUCUGCCCGCUAGACAUGUACACCUUACAAUCAUUCCAUACAACAAAUAUAGUAGACCUAUUGCAUUUAGUAUGAGAAAAACAGACCAAAACACAAAAAUUGAACUAUAACCACUGAACCAUGAAAAUGAGGUCAAGGUCAGAUGACACCUGCCAGUUGGACAUGUACACCUUACAGUUCUUCCAUACACUGAAUAUACUAGCCCUAUUGUUUAUAGUAUCUGAGAUAUGGACUUGACCACCAAAACUUAACCUUGUUCACUGAUCCAUGAAAUGAGGUCGAGGUCAAGUGAAAACUGUCUGACAGACAUAAGGACCUUGCAAGGUACGCACAUCAAAUAUAGUUAUCCUAUUACUUAUAAUAAGAGAGAAUUCAACAUUACAAAAAAUU
rnacentral:lncRNA from 1 species